rnacentral:rRNA from 1 species
AUGUCAACAAAGAAGACAUUAGUAGCUGCUCUGGUUCCUCAGACAGAGCAGGUGUCUCCUCUGCCGCGGGUGACGCCUCCUGUGCCCGAGCCUGUGGUCGUCGGCGAUGUCAACAAAGAAGACGUUACUCCUCUGGCUCCUCUGCCGGAGCAGGUGGUGGCUGCUCAGCCUCAGCCGGGUGUUCAUCUGCCAUUGUUGUUGCCUCCCCUGCCCCCACCUGUGGUCGUCGCCGACGAGAACGAAGAAGAGGUUUUCCCUGGUCAGUACAAGGCAAAUAAGGUCCUAAGUGACGACAUUGACAGCGACCCAGAAACCCAGAGGAUCUUCAGGAGGCAGAAAUUGAGGCAGCUGAACAAUGGUUAG